rnacentral:lncRNA from 1 species
UCUAAGAAAUUUUAGGUACCCUCGCUCUAAAAUUUAAUAUAGUUACUCUCUAAAAUUUUAAUAUGUUUUCUCUCUCUAAAACUUAAAUUUUUAAGUAGUUUCUCUUCCUAAAAUUUUUAGAUAGUUUCUCUCUCUAAAUUAUCAGGUAGUUUCUCUCUUUAAAAUUUUAAUAUACUUUCUCUCUCUAAAACUUAAAAUUUGAGAUAGCUUUUCUAUCUAAAAUUUUUCAAAUAAUUUCUCUAUCUAAAAA